AACGAACGCUGGCGGCAGGCUUGACACAUGCAAGUCGAGCGCCCCGCAAGGGGAGCGGCAGACGGGUGAGUAACACGUGGGAACCUUCCUAGAGGUACGGAACAACUCAGGGAAACUUGAGCUAAUACCGUAUACGCUCUUGCGAGGAAAGAUUUAUCGCCUUUAGACGGGCCCGCGUCGGAUUAGCUAGUUGGUGGGGUAACGGCCUACCAAGGAGACGAUCCGUAGCUGAGCUGAGAGGAUGAUCAGCCACAAUUGGACUGAGACACGGCCCAGACUCCUACGGGAGGCAGCAGUGGGGAAUCUUGGACAAUGGGCGCAAGCCUGAUCCAGCCAUGCCGCGUGAGUGAAGAAGGCCUUCGGGUUGUAAAGCUCUUUUGCCAGGGACGAUAAUGACGGUACCUGGAGAAUAAGCCCCGGCAAACUUCGUGCCAGCAGCCGCGGUAA
rnacentral:rRNA from 1 species